UUGAUUCAAGAGUCUUUCUCUCCUUAUCCCCCGAGCAUUUCGGUCCCUCGUGAUUCGACUUCUCUUUCUGUAGCUUAGUAUAGUAAGGUGAGCACCGAAGCGCUGCACGAAUCUUUCUUAGAAAGAUUCAGCGACGAAGUUCUGCCCCUGCAGAGCCCGACUCCUAGCUAAAACCCCCUUGUAAGUUUCGUCGAAGGAAAAUAGAAUCGUUAGAAGCAAGCGCUGCCCGAUUUUGGAAUCAUCACCUUAACAAGUAGUGGCGCAUGAGCAUAGGUGUGAUGUUUUGGACGAGGGAUUACGAAUAUAGGCCUGUAGAUAUGGAAUAAUGUAAUAAGCAUGUCGUAUCGUACUACCGGACCAAGGUGGUUGGACUAAGUUGACACUGCAUGCCCGAGACGGCUGAAUCGGGACGAAAGUGUUGGGAAGAAGCACAAGAAGGGUGGUACAUUAGCAGAACAUAUUUUACCAAU